rnacentral:rRNA from 1 species
ACGGGAGGCAGCAGUGGGGAAUAUUGCACAAUGGGGGAAACCCUGAUGCAGCCAUGCCGCGUGUGUGAAGAAGGCCUUCGGGUUGUAAAGCACUUUCAGUAGGGAGGAAAGGGUGUAGUUUAAUACGCUAUAUCUGUGACGUUACCUACAGAAGAAGGACCGGCUAACUCCGUGCCAGCAGCCGCGGUAAUACGGAGGGUCCGAGCGUUAAUCGGAAUUACUGGGCGUAAAGCGUGCGCAGGCGGUUUGUUAAGCGAGAUGUGAAAGCCCUGGGCUCAACCUAGGAAUAGCAUUUCGAACUGGCGAACUAGAGUCUUGUAGAGGGGGGUAGAAUUCCAGGUGUAGCGGUGAAAUGCGUAGAGAUCUGGAGGAAUACCGGUGGCGAAGGCGGCCCCCUGGACAAAGACUGACGCUCAUGCACGAAAGCGUGGGGAGCAAACAGGAUUAGAUACCC